UAAGCGUUCGGAGCGUCGGUUUACCGAGCAAUAUCACUUGCUCGGUGAAAGAUCUUCCUUUUGUCGA
rnacentral:pre_miRNA from 1 species